CUGGAUGGUAGUGUAUUGGACAACCNUGGNNUNCACGGGCUAUCGGGGGAUUAGGGUUCGAUUCCGGAGAGGGAGCCUGAGAAACGGCUACCACUUCUACGGAAGGCAGCAGGCGCGAAAAUUAUCCAGUCCUGAUUCAGGGAGGUAGUGAAAGAAAUAAUGAACUAGGAUUUAUCCUGGGGUCAGAAUGGGCUUGAUUUGCAAACUUUAUUUAGCGAGGAACAAUUGGAGGGCAAGUCUGGUGCCAGCAGCCGCGGUAAUUCCAGCUCCAAUAGUGUAUAUUAAUGUUCCUGCAGUUAUUCGAUGCUCGUAGUUGGAUUUCUGGAGGCUGAGACAGGAAGGCAGCCAAGGUUGUCGCCAGUCUCUUCCUUCAUCCACCUGUUAACGUUGUCCG
rnacentral:rRNA from 1 species